CCGAAGCCUGCGGCAGUUUUGCUGUUAGGCAAUGUGGUGUUUAGGUCGGCUCGCGGGACUGCUGCUCCAUUCUAAGUCCAGCUUUGAGUAUGGCUUCUGGACUUGGCCCACAGAGGGUGAAAGGCCCGUUCGAAUGGAGGAUAAGAGAAGUGAGUAGUCCACUAUGCCGGCCUUCGAGUCGGGUUGUUUGAGAAUGCAGCCCAAAGAGGGUGGUAGACUCCAUCCAAGGCUAAAUACUAGCACGAGUCCGAUAGCGAACAAGUACCGUGAGGGAAAGUUGAAAAGUACUUUGAAGAGAGAGUAAACAGUACGUGAAACCGCAUAGAGGUAAACGGGUGGCGUCAAGCUGCACGCUUAGAGGAUUCAGUCGGUCAGGAUGUUGUGUAUGCGCCUGGCGCAUCUAUCAGUCGGAGUGAGAUAAAGUAGUCCGUUGGGUAACAGCGGGCCCGGCCGAAAGGCUGGGAUUUGUAUUCCGUGUUAUGUGCGGAGCUUGCUACUUGUCUAUGGACUGCCUGGCCGAUGCAUUUUCUCUGUGGCGAACACCACGACCGGUGGUACUGCCAGUCUGCUGUGGUAAAGUCGGGUUCAGUCGGCCUUGUGUUGGUUGAGCUUGAUCAUAGGCAAGCGGUGUGCGGGUGCGUUCGUACUUGUACACCGCUUUGUCAACGGGUCUGUUUGCUGACGAUUGUAGUAGUUGGCGAAUGGCCUGGUGGACCAUGGUGGUAAGAAUAACUGUGCAGGGCACCGGUGAUUUCGGUCUCUAAUUUGGCUCGCUCACACACUACAAGUGGGUGUGGGUCGUCGUUGCAGUCUGCCUGUGAUUGGGUUUGAUUGUCGUGUUGCCUGCGCAAAGUAGGUCCGGCAGUAGCCUGAUUUUGGAUGGUAUUGCUAGCGGCGUCUCUUCUGCGGGCUGAUGAGGGCCUAAUAGU
rnacentral:rRNA from 1 species